AGAGUUUGAUCCUGGCUCAGGGUUAACGCUGGCGGCGUGCCUAACACAUGCAAGUCGAGCGAGGGCUUUCUUCCCGCAAGGGAGGGAAGUUCCUAGCGGCGAACGGGUGAGUAGCACGUGGGCAACCCGUCCCUUUGUGUGGGAUAACGUCGGGAAACCGGCGCUAAUACCGCAUGUGGUCACCGGUCGCAUGGUCGGUGAAGAAAGCAGCAAUGCGCGAAGGGGUGGGCCCGCGGCCUAUCAGCUAGUCGGUGGGGUAACGGCCUACCGAGGCUUUGACGGGUAGCUGGUCUGAGAGGACGACCAGCCACACGGGGACUGAGACACGGCCCCGACUCCUACGGGAGGCAGCAGUGAGGAAUCUUCCGCAAUGGGCGAAAGCCUGACGGAGCAACGCCGCGUGUGGGAUGAAGUCCCUCGGGAUGUAAACCACUGUCGGAGGGGAAGACAUCGACGGCACCCUCCAAGAAAGCCCCGGCUAACUACGUGCCAGCAGCCGCGGUAAUACGUAGGGGGCAAGCGUUACCCGGAAUUACUUGGGCGUAAAGCGCGUGUAGGCGGCUGGCCAAGUGUGAUGUGAAAUCUCCCGGCUUAACCGGGAAACUGCAUUGCAAACUGGUCUGGCUAGAGUGUAGGAGAGGGUAGUAGAACUCCUGGUGUAGCGGUGAAAUGCGUAGAUAUCAGGAAGAAUACCAGUGGCGAAGGCGGCUACCUGGCCUACAACUGACGCUGAGACGCGAAAGCGUGGGGAGCGAACCGGAUUAGAUACCCGGGUAGUCC
rnacentral:rRNA from 1 species